rnacentral:rRNA from 1 species
GACGAACGCUGGCGGCGUGCUUAACACAUGCAAGUCGAACGGAAAGGCCCUGCGCUUGCGGGGUGCUCGAGUGGCGAACGGGUGAGUAACACGUGAGUAACCUGCCCUUGACUUUGGGAUAACUUCAGGAAACUGGGGCUAAUACCCGAUAGGAGCUUUUGCUGCACGGUGGGGGUUGGAAAGUUUCGGCGGUGGGGGAUGGACUCGCGGCUUAUCAGCUUGUUGGUGGGGUAGUGGCUUACCAAGGCUUUGACGGGUAGCCGGCCUGAGAGGGUGACCGGCCACAAUGGGACUGAGGUAGGGAGCAGAAUGCAACGGUACGCAGUAGUGGGGAACCUUGCGCAGUAGCGGGGCGUCAGUGACAGCAACCCCGGGUGCGGAAUGCCGUCCUUCGGGUUGUAAACCGCUUUGGACUGAGACGAAGCGUGAGUGACGGUAAUGGAUCAAAAAGCAACGGCUAACUACGUG